CCAAAGGCCCUCUUUAGGGCCACCAAUUAUUAUUUUACGAAUGAUGU
rfam:Strongyloides stercoralis strain PV0001 genome assembly, scaffold: SSTP_scaffold0000009